UACGUAGGGUGCAAGCGUUUAAUCGGAAUUACUGGGCGUAAAGCGUGCGCAGGCGGUUUUGUAAGUCUGUCGUGAAAUCCCCGGGCUCAACCUGGGAAUUGCGUUGGAGACUGCAAGGCUAGAAUCUGGCAGAGGGGGGUAGAAUUCCACGUGUAGCAGUGAAAUGCGUAGAGAUGUGGAGGAACACCGAUGGCGAAGGCAGCCCCCUGGGUCAAGAUUGACGCUCAUGCACGAAAGCGUGGGGAGCAAAC
rnacentral:rRNA from 1 species